CCUGAUUACUCCCGAUGUAUCAUAUAUGAUCAAUGUUUGUUAGACAGAAACGUAUAAAUACGGGGUCACAUCAACAGUGUGUAUAACACGUACCUUGGCAACAGCGAAACGGUUUCUCCUCCCUUACUGCCUUUAGAAGUUAAAGAUGCUGAAAGCAGUAGUCGUGUUGCUAGCCAUUGCCGUGGUUCUCGGCACAGUACAAGCGACUUUAUAUACCGAUGGAUUCCCCACGACAGAUGGCGGCCGAUGGUGGUGGCAUCGCAUGAAAGGCUGGCCACGUCAUCCCAAGAUAUGUGACUGCAAACGUAUUUGUAAAAUGAUGCACAGGCCUGGAUGAACACAACAGCUACCGAUGUUUUGUCAGGUCCUGAUAUCUACGAGUUGGAAGACGGCAACAUCAAGUUACAGAUUUAAUAAAAUAUAAAUUCAAAUUUUGACAAAUAAAAGCAUCAAACAUAUUA